rnacentral:tRNA from 1 species
GCCCCGGUAGCUCAGUCGGCAGAGCGGCCGCCUUGUAAGCGGCAGGUCGGGGGUUCGAGACCCCCCCGGGGCUCCA